UGGGUGAGAGGAGGAGUUUGGCAGCUGCUGUGUGUGUCAACAAUGCAUAUUAAGUAGCCAUGUGCACCAGGUCUAAACAGUGAUGACAAUAGACACAGAGGCCCAGUCUUGGAGUUUUAAUGAAAGACAAUUAUUAUUGCAAUUUAAAUCCAAUGAACAAAUGUCAGCAAUCUUUACAAAUCGAAUAACACACAGUAAUUAAUGUAAUGUUACAGUAUAUAUAUAUAUAUAUUAUAUUGUGUGUGUGUGCAUUCAUACAGGCUCUAUCUAUUUCUUUUAACAGUCAUGUGUAUGUAUAACAUUGGCGCUAGUGCAUCUUGGCCCGACCUGUGGACAGAAAUGUCUAUACUAGCAAAAGGUUCAUCACUAUCCUGUCUGUCUGUCUUUGCUAUACAGUCCUUUAAUUGAACUAUGUAAAUAAAAUGUUAAUGUGCUAAUUAAAACAUGCAUUUUGCUUGGGAACGGA